GAUGAACGCUAGCUACAGGCUUAACACAUGCAAGUCGAGGGGCAGCACAGUGUAGCAAUACAUGGGUGGCGACCGGCGCACGGGUGCGUAACGCGUAUCCAACCUUCCCGUUACUCAGGGAUAGCCUUCCGAAAGGGAGAUUAAUACCUGAUGGUAUUCAAAUUUCGCAUGUUAUUUGAAUUAAAGAUUUAUCGGUAACGGAUGGGGAUGCGUGACAUUAGAUAGUAGGCGGGGUAACGGCCCACCUAGUCUACGAUGUCUAGGGGUUCUGAGAGGAAGGUCCCCCACACUGGAACUGAGACACGGUCCAGACUCCUACGGGAGGCAGCAGUGGGGAAUAUUGGGCAAUGGAGGCAACUCUGAACCAGCCAAGUAGCGUGCAGGACGACGGCCCUAUGGGUUGUAAAACUGCUUUUAUGCGGGGAUAAAUGAGCCUACGUGUAGGUUUUUGCAGGUACCGCAUGAAUAAGACCGGCUAAUUCCGUG
rnacentral:rRNA from 1 species